CAGAAGCCAGCGGGACCCGCACAUUGUCGGCUGGGGAUACGAUCGACAUCGGCGAGUUGACCUACGUGCACCCAAUGUUUGACAACAGCUGGGUGGACGAUGUCAAGGCGUGGCCAAGUGUGUCUAGUGCCCACAUUGUGUGCUACCUCAUCAAGAGCAAGGCGUGUGACCUCAAAGAAGCUGAGGCAUACAAAAGCCUAGACUCCUACAAUAUUGUACAGAGUGGCUGGGUGGGCCAGGUGCUUUGUCACAAUGCUAACGCAGACUUAGUGCACCUCAAGGCGGAUGUUCGACCAUCGCAGGCCAUAAAUCAAAAGCCUUGGACAGCAUAGGCUUGCGUCAGGCACACCGGACAUGUGAUCACUGGUGGUUGCUCGUAUAUGGCUGGGAAAGCAAGGGUUUGCAGCCAUGUUGGUGCACUACUGUGGAAAGUCGAUAUGGCUGUCGCCUCGGGAAUGACCGGCACAUCAUGUACUGACCAAACCGCUCAGUGGAACAGGAGAACAAAGAGGAAUGUGGAACCUGUCCUGCUUGAAGAUAUGGACUUUGAGCUGCAAAAACAAACUGUGAACUCCGAAAAUAAGGCCCCAAAACCCACACGAAAGUUUCAUCACUUCGGAAAUGAUGUAGAGCUGAUAAACCACAUUGGGAGGAAACCAUUUUCAGAUCUCUUCAACAUUCCUGGUACUUUGCUUCAUAGUACAUUGAAUGCGGCUGCUUGGGACCCACGUGCUACUGAUCUGCCAAGCCAGCCUCGCCACUCACAUACAGACCUUUGGAACUCCCAAAAGGCUGCGACCCUUGCAAAGUAUUUUAUCAAAAGUUUGUUAUGCUUUCGAAUGAAGGACGGGCUUCCCUUGAAUUUGUCACUAGGGAACAGGGGUGCCCGCUAUGGCGUAUGGCCAGGCGCCUUCGCAUAACUGCAUCAAAUGUGAAGCGGGUUCCUAAAA
rnacentral:lncRNA from 1 species